GACGAACGCUGGCGGCGUGCUUAACACAUGCAAGUCGAACGGAAAGGCCCUGCUUUUGUGGGGUGCUCGAGUGGCGAACGGGUGAGCAACACGUGAGUAACCUGCCCUUGACUUUGGGAUAACUUCAGGAAACUGGGGCUAAUACCGGAUAGGAGCUCCUGCUGCAUGGUGGGGGUUGGAAAGUUUCGGCGGUUGGGGAUGGACUCGCGGCUUAUCAGCUUGUUGGUGGGGUAGUGGCUUACCAAGGCUUUGACGGGUAGCCGGCCUGAGAGGGUGACCGGCCACAUUGGGACUGAGAUACGGCCCAGACUCCUACGGGAGGCAGCAGUGGGGAAUAUUGCACAAUGGGCGGAAGCCUGAUGCAGCAACGCCGCGUGCGGGAUGACGGCCUUCGGGUUGUAAACCGCUUUCGCCUGUGACGAAGCGUGAGUGACGGUAAUGGGUAAAGAAGCACCGGCUAACUACGUGCCAGCAGCCGCGGUGAUACGUAGGGUGCGAGCGUUGUCCGGAUUUAUUGGGCGUAAAGGGCUCGUAGGUGGUUGAUCGCGUCGGAAGUGUAAUCUUGGGGCUUAACCCUGAGCGUGCUUUCGAUACGGGUUGACUUGAGGAAGGUAGGGGAGAAUGGAAUUCCUGGUGGAGCGGUGGAAUGCGCAGAUAUCAGGAGGAACACCAGUGGCGAAGGCGGUUCUCUGGGCCUUUCCUGACGCUGAGGAGCGAAAGCGUGGGGAGCGAACAGGCUUAGAUACCCUGGUAGUCCACGCUGUAAACGGUGGGUACUAGGUGUGGGGUCCAUUCCACGGGUUCCGUGCCGUAGCUAACGCUUUAAGUACCCCGCCUGGGGAGUACGGCCGCAAGGCUAAAACUCAAAGGAAUUGACGGGGCCCCGCACAAGCGGCGGAGCAUGCGGAUUAAUUCGAUGCAACGCGUAGAACCUUACCUGGGUUUGACAUGGAUCGGGAGUGCUCAGAGAUGGGUGUGCCUCUUUUGGGGUCGGUUCACAGGUGGUGCAUGCCUGUCGUCAGCUCGUGUCGUGAGAUGUUGGGUUAAGUCCCGCAACGAGCGCAACCCUUGUUCACUGUUGCCAGCACGUUAUGGUGGGGACUCAGUGGAGACCGCCGGGGUCAACUCGGAGGAAGGUGGGGAUGACGUCAAGUCAUCAUGCCCCUUAUGUCCAGGGCUUCACGCAUGCUACAAUGGCUGGUACAGAGAGUGGCGAGCCUGUGAGGGUGAGCGAAUCUCGGAAAGCCGGUCUCAGUUCGGAUUGGGGUCUGCAACUCGACCUCAUGAAGUCGGAGUCGCUAGUAAUCGCAGAUCAGCAACGCUGCGGUGAAUACGUUCCCGGGGCU
rnacentral:rRNA from 1 species